rnacentral:rRNA from 1 species
AAGAGACAGCAGUCGCCGCGGUAAAACGGAGGGUGCAAGCGUUAAUCGGAAUUACUGGGCGUAAAGCGCACGCAGGCGGUCUGACAAGUCAGAUGUGAAAUCCCCGGGCUUAACCUGGGAACUGCAUUUGAAACUGUCAGGCUGGAGUCUUGUAGAGGGGGGUGGAAUUCCAGGUGUAGCGGUGAAAUGCGUAGAGAUCUGGAGGAAUACCGGUGGCGAAGGCGGCCCCCUGGACAAAGACUGACGCUCAGGUGCGAAAGCGUGGGGAGCAAACAGGAUUAGAUACCCGCGUAGUCCCUGUCUCUUAUAC